AUGGGAGGAGAAAGCUAGAAGUGUACCUGUCAUCGGGAUAAAUGACGAAACCUUGAGAAAGGCCUCUGAGGCCAUUGAUGACGUUUUCACUGCUAAAUCUCCAAGGAGUUGAAUCGGCAAUUAGCUCGUUUUCCAUCAUCGCCAAUCGACUGGAGAAAGUUCAACUGAAAUUUGUCAAAUCCAUAGCUAUCGGAUAGAGAAAGCUGAGAUCCAGAGGAAGAUUUAUCAGAUGGUGAACUUUCUGGAGAAGAGGAGGGAAGGGACAAAUUUGAAGGACGUGAAUAUAGCCCAAAGUUAGAGAACAUAUUAAUUGUGUCAUGUCAUUAUUUAAUUUUAUCUAUGCGUUAUUAAAUAAUCUAAGCUAGGUAUUAAAUUAAAUAUUGGUUGCCGUUACGUGUAUACCAUACAGUUGUAAGAUUGUAGCUAAAGUGAUGUAAUAAGCAAUACAUUUGUACUCAUAUAGAAAAAUAAAAUAAUA